GAAAGAUUAGUUAAAAAAUAACCUUACCUUGUCAAGAUAAAAUUAUAAGUUAAAAUCUUAUAUCCUUCCC
rnacentral:tRNA from 1 species